GAUGAACGCUGGCGGCGUGCCUAAUACAUGCCAGUCGAGCGAACGGACGAGAAGCUUGCUUUUCUGAUGUUAGCGGCGGACGGGUGAGUAACACGUGGAUAACCUACCUAUAAGACUGGGAUAACUUCGGGAAACCGGAGCUAAUACCGGAUAAUAUUUUGAACCGCAUGGUUCAAAAGUGAAAGACGGUUUUGCUGUCAUUUAUAGAUGGAUCCGCGCUGCAUUAGCUAGUUGGUAAGGUAACGGCUUACCAAGGCAACGAUGCAUAGCCGACCUGAGAGGGUGAUCGGCCACACUAGAACUGAGACACGGUCCAGACUCCUACGGGAGGCAGCAGUAGGGAAUCUUCCGCAAUGGGCGAAAGCCUGACGGAGCAACGCCGCGUGAGUGAUGAAGGUCUUCGGAUCGUAAAACUCUGUUAUUAGGGAAGAACAUAUGUGUAAGUAACUGUGCACAUCUUGACGGUACCUAAUCAGAAAGCCACGGCUAACUACGUG
rnacentral:rRNA from 1 species